GCGCCACCCUUCCCGCCGAGGAGACUGGGUUUUCCUCCCAGGGUUCUCCAAGCAAAGCCUGUCUGUGUUCCAGGCUGGUGCUGACUAGAGGAGGCAAAGCCAAAAUUAGCCCCAGGCCCUCCCUCAAGUAGUGAAGGGGCCACCGGGCCUCCCCUCAACCCGUAGGGGGUCACGGGCCCCGCCCCGCUCCCGGUCAAGACCCUGACAUUGCGGAGGGUCAGGAGGGGGGAGCGAGGAUCCGGGGCCUGGCACCCUGGGUGGGGCACCGUCCCCAGGGAGGGUUGGGCAGGCGCCCCCAGCCUCCAGCCAUCCCGCCCGCUGUGGGCGCCCCGGUGGCCGAGGAGCCAGGAGCGGCUCCCGGGGCUGUGCGCGGAGAACCCGGAAGAAGCGGAGGAGCCCCGGGCGGCGCUGAGCUGUGUCCCUGCCUGAGGGGGGCCCCAGCCCUGAGCCCGCAGCUCCAGAGGCUCCUGGGCCCUCCCCUUCUUCCCAGCACCGUCCCAGGGGGAAGGUAGCCCCCGGCGCAGGCGGGACCCUCGGCAGUCUGGCCCAAGAAACGGGGACCCUGUGGCUUCCUGUGUCUGGUGCCAUCAGGAAGUAGCCCCGAGCCAGAGCACAAAGGGCCUUUGUCCUGCCUGCCCCGCCCAGCGAGACCUCGGGCCCAGCCAGGGCUGGGGGCUGGGGGCUGGGUACCCUCUGGCCGGCUCUGCCACCAGCCGCCAGCCUGGUCCCCGGAGAGCCACACCCCCUCCCCUCCACGGUCCCCACCCGGCUGCCAUGACAAUGUCCUACCCAGCAGGAGGACCAGGCCGGAACCUUUGGCAGCCACCAGUUCCUGGAGAUUCCGACACCAAGUGCAGCCACUGUGCGGGGCCGGGUGUGGAGUGGCCCCACACCGACCAGCUCACGCCAGCUGGCAGAGCCACUGGGCCCCCUCCGUGGAGGAGGAGAGAGGCCUCGGGCGCCACGCGCUGUGCCCCAGGGCCACUCACUUCCUUGUCAGAGCUGAACCCAGGCUCCUGUGGACCAAGAGGGGGUCCAGGAAGAACUGCUCCUGGGACCCGGACAGAGCGGAGGCCGUGUGCACGAGCAGCGUGGACCAGAGGGGCCUCGGGGGCCACCUGCUCCGUCCGACCAGGCACCAGUCCUUCCAGACUCGCCUGAGGAUGCCCGUGGGCCCCAGCGACACCUGGGGUGCCCCCCACACCCCUGCACCUACCUGAGACCAAGGGUGGUGGUGGGGCUGUGUGCCUGAGUCCUGGCCCUCCCAGGGCCACCCUCAGGAGCGGCUGCACAGGCUCUGGCUGGCCGGGGCUCAGAGCAGCCCACGGAGCCAGGCCCAUCCUGGGAGGCUCAGGGCUGCAGCCCAUGGACUCAUGAGGGGGGCUUCUGGGGUCUAAGGCCAGAAGUGACCUUUCUUCUCACGGAGGCACCCCCACAUCACAGGCCCCAAGCUCCCACCAGGAGUCCCCAGGCAGCAGGUUUUCCACCACAGCCGGGAAGAGCCCCGCCUUCACCACCCACCACCAGCCAAUCCCGAGACCACCGAAGCCCCCAGACCGGGCCCUUUGCCCCUCCUGCCCCCCGGCUCUCCCUACUGCCCAGAGCCUCCGCCAGCACCCAGGGACCCACGUCCACCUCCCAGAGCGGCCCUGCCCAGGGUCCUUCCCUGCCCUCCACGAUUCUCCGUGGCCCUUGGAGAAAGAGCAGCUUCUCCCCAGGCUCUGCCCCCAGCCCUUCCACCCCAGAGCCUCUGCCCAGACGUCCCGUCCCAUCCCGGGGGGCUGUCACGCUUCCGCCCCACCUCUCGCCCAUUCCCGGACAGUCACAGCCGUGGAACAACGCAGCGUGUGGACACAGCCCCAGGGAAGCUUGACUCUGCCUGGUCCCCAUGGCGUGCGGUGGCUCACCAGCCGCCCCCAUCGCUCCAUGAAAUCUGACUACACCUGUCCCAAAAAUCAACCAGCUCCCAGGCAGGUCCCGCCGUGCAGGGGGCCAAGGGCCACACCUGGGACCAGUGAGUGAGGCGGCGUGCGGGUAGUGGGGGUGUGAGCCCGAGACGGGGGUCCAGCCUUCUCCCACUUGGAUGCCAACAGCAGACUCUGGAUUUGGAGGUGUGGGCGGUGCCUUAGUCUCCCCAGAAGACAAGAGCCCACCCGCCGGGUGUGUCCUGACCCCACCCCCACCUGCCCCACACAGACACCUGAGUGGGCAUCAGAGUGGGCCGGGCCCUGACUGUCCGGGGGAGGGACUGUUGGGGCAAGGGCAGUGGGUCAGAGGUCACCGGUGCCCCCAGGACCAGUUUCCAGCGAGAAGAGAGCCAGGAGCCCCGGGCACAGGCCCACGGUGAUGAGGCUCCUGACCGAGCUCCCAGAGCUCAUUAUGGAAAACCGUGGGGUCCGCUGGGACCUCUCUGCUGGUCGGGCUAAUUACAGACCGUUUGUCGUUUCA